rnacentral:lncRNA from 1 species
CUUUUUCUUGUUAAAAUUAUUCUUUAUGAGAAAAAAUAUAUUCACACACAUGCUACAAAUAGAAGCCAACACACCAAAGUAAGUAACUAUUGCUAAAAGCUGGCUAAUUGAAAUGUAAUUCACUCAUGCAAAACACACACACACAGAGAGAGGGAGAGAGAGAGAGAGAGAGAGAAUAUGAAUUUUGGCCUUGCAGCCCUUUCUGAAGUCAUAUGAAUGUCUCAGUGUUUGCACUUGAAAAACUGGAAGAAAAAUCAAUUGCAUGAAAACACGAAAUCGUUGUAAAUCUAAACAGCAAGCCCAUUUUUAUAUAGACUCUGAGAAGAAACUACUUUUUAAAAAGAUAACGCUAUGGUGCCCCUAACCCAGAAUACAGUGAACACACUCGCUUCAUGAAUCUUCAUCCAAAGGCAAUAGUCUGCUCUUAUCAUCUAACAGGAACUAGCUUCCUUUCAACAUGAUCUCCUGCGUGAUCUUUUCAUGUUCUCUCGAGUCAGUGGAAUAUGGUCUUACACGCGUUCUCGCGACCGGCCAGGAAGAACACAACAAACCGGAAUCUUCUGCGGCAAAAGCUUUAUUGCUUACAUCUUCAGGAGCCAGAGAGCAAGAGAGCAAGAGAGAGAAAAAGAACAAGAGCAAGGAAACAAGAAAAAGAACAAGAACAAGAAAGCAAGAGAAAGAAUGGCAAAACCCCGUCCCUUUUAAGGAGAAUU